rfam:Myotis brandtii contig168522, whole genome shotgun sequence.
UGCAGUUCUCAGGUGAUGCACCCAGAACCAGAGAGGAGGGAGUCUGAUUCUGGGGUGCAUCACCCAAGAACUGCC